CCCCCCCGCCCUUUUUCUCUGGCAUAACCAGGCACAGUUUUACCAUCAACACAUCCUUUUUGGAUAGUUGGGGUUGUUUGGUUUUCUUCUUGCUACCCUCUCCUCAUCUCCCUGCCUGCCAGAGCGCUGGGUACAUAAACCACCCCCCUCUAGAUGGGCUGUCUGUGGCACCAGCAGGCUCUUUUCCUUUGCUCCCACCCAAAGAGUCGCUCUUACACUGAACUUCCCUCCACUGGCGUCGUUCCCCCUCCUUUCCUCCACUCGAUCGCUUGUUCGCUGAGCUGGUUCCUCCCCCUCUUCCUUGUUUGCUGAGCUGGUCUCCCCCCUGCUUUCCUCCACUGGCUCACUGAGGUGGUUUCCCCCCUGCUUUCCUCCACUGGCUCACUGAGGUGGUUUCCCCCCUGCUUUCCUCCACUGGCUCACUGAGGUGGUUUCCCCCCUGCUUUCCUCCACUGGCUCUCUGAGGUGGUUUCCCCCCUGCUUUCCUCCACUGGCUCACUGAGGUGGUUUCCCCCCUGCUUUCCUCCACUGGCUCACUGAGGUGGUUUCCCCCCUGCUUUCCUCCACUGGCUCACUGAGGUGGUUUCCCCCCUGCUUUCCUCCACUGGCUCACUGAGCUGGUUUCCCCCUGCUUUCCUCCACUGGCUCACUGAGGUGGUUUCUCCCCUGCUUUCCUCCACUGGCUCACUGAGCUGGUUUCCCCCCUGCUUUCCUCCACUGGCUCACUGAGCUGGUUUCCCCCCUGCUUUCCUCCACUGGCUCACUGAGGUGGUUUCCCCCUGCUUUCCUCCACUGGCUCACUGAGGUGGUUUCCCCCCUGCUUUCCUCCACUGGCUCACUGAGGUGGUUUCCCCCCUGCUUUCCUCCACUGGCUCACUGAGGUGGUUUCUCCCCUGCUUUCCUCCACUGGCUCACUGAGGUGGUUUCCCCCCUGCUUUCCUCCACUGGCUCACUGAGGUGGUUUUCCCUCCCCCCUUUCCUGCACUCACUCACUGAGGUGGCUUCCCCCCUGCUUUCCUCCACUGCUGGUAUCAGUCUUCUUUUCCCACACUGCACUACUAAACCCACUACCAGUUCCCUGCUGUCUCUCCCUGGGUAUCCUUUCUCUUUACCUCACCUUGAGUCUUUCAAAGGCUUAAACCUUCUGGGUUGCCUUUUUUCCCCCUUCCCUGCUUCUCUUCCAAUCUCCUCUGAACCAGGUGAGGAUUGCAGCUUAGCUUAAACCAUCCAACAACCUCCUUUUGUCACUCAAAGAACCAACUCCUCCCCCCCCUCCCAGCCCCCCAAAUUGUUUCAUAGAGUAUUGUAUUUUUUAGGGGAAAAUGAAUUAAUUUUUUAUAGCCACUAAACUAUGCUCAUUAUUUUUGUACGUUUGCAACUUCUGACAUUUUUUCAGAGCCCUGUGGGUGAGGGUGGGUGGGGAGGGGGUGGAAGGGUUUAUUUCCGUGGCUGUUUUACUACCCACGGUGGUUGCUGUUGCUACCUAGGAGCGGAGUAGUUGGAUGUGCAAUGAAAGAAGGCAAUAAAGGGUUUCAAUGAAAGGAGGGAAACGAAACAACCCACACAAAAGGCCAUUUUUAUUUGAAGGCAAAAAUGGCAAAGCUAUCACAGGAGCAACACUUUAACCUUUCCUCCUCCUUUAGAACCCUAGAUGGGAGAAAACGAGGUGUAAAAGGUAUAAACCAGGUGUCAAAAGGUAAUGAAGAGCAAGGUGAGAAACCCUCCCUGUAAGCUAACUGUGCCAAUAUUGCUUCGGUUUGUAGCCACUGAUGGAGGAUGGUUUAGUUCCAAAGGAGAAGAGAGCUUUGGCUGAAAAAGAGAAGGAAAGAAAAGGGAGUUGAAUGUCUUGGGGUGGGGGGUGGGGGAAAUCUGCAUCCAUGUUUAUUUGAGAGUUGUAAAUACUGUAUCCAGAUUGUUGUAUGUCAGGGGACAGACUAUUUAAAUGCUAGGGUUGUUUUUUUGUUUUUCAAUAAGAAACUGAAGGCUGUUUAUAAGAGAAAAAUAAAUAGCUAUGUUUGACCA